rnacentral:lncRNA from 1 species
UGGCGUGUUGAGUUGUUGCUUCCUUCUCUGGGCAGCAGCUCUGUAAGAAGGAAUGUCAGCUUUUACAUAACGUUCCUUUCCGCUUUUGACACACUGUGUGAGGGUCCAUCUUCUUCUGAUCACAGAUGGAGUGGAAUGGCUUGAAGAUGCCUUCUAGAAUCCUAAAGUUGACCUGAAGCCAAGAAGAAAAUUCUGGUGAUGGGAGAAGUGGAGCCACUUAAAUUACUUACAUGAUGAUAAUUAGCACCAUGGAGCCUCAGGUGUCAAAUGGUCCGACAUCCAAUACAAGCAAUGGACCCUCCAGCAACAACAGAAACUGUCCUUCUCCCAUGCAAACAGGGGCAACCACAGAUGACAGCAAAACCAACCUCAUCGUCAACUAUUUACCCCAGAAUAUGACCCAAGAAGAAUUCAGGAGUCUCUUCGGGAGCAUUGGUGAAAUAGAAUCCUGCAAACUU